UACAGAGGUCCCGAGCGUUGUUCGGAUUCACUGGGCGUAAAGAGCUCGUAGGCGGCCUGUCGCGUCGACCGUGAAAACCCGCAGCUCAACUGCGGGCUUGCGGUCGAUACGGGCAGGCUGGAGUUCGGUAGGGGAGACUGGAAUUCCUGGUGUAGCGGUGAAAUGCGCAGAUAUCAGGAGGAACACCGGUGGCGAAGGCGGGUCUCUGGGCCGAUACUGACGCUGAGGAGCGAAAGCGUGGGGAGCGAACAGG
rnacentral:rRNA from 1 species